rnacentral:rRNA from 1 species
AUUGAACGCUGGCGGCAGGCUUAACACAUGCAAGUCGAACGAUGAUUAUCUAGCUUGCUAGAUAUGAUUAGUGGCGGACGGGUGAGUAACAUUUAGGAAUCUGCCUAGUAGUGGGGGAUAGCUCGGGGAAACUCGAAUUAAUACCGCAUACGACCUACGGGUGAAAGGGGGCGCAAGCUCUUGCUAUUAGAUGAGCCUAAAUCAGAUUAGCUAGUUGGUGGGGUAAAGGCCCACCAAGGCGACGAUCUGUAACUGGUCUGAGAGGAUGAUCAGUCACACCGGAACUGAGACACGGUCCGGACUCCUACGGGAGGCAGCAGUGGGGAAUAUUGGACAAUGGGGGCAACCCUGAUCCAGCCAUGCCGCGUGUGUGAAGAAGGCCUUUUGGUUGUAAAGCACUUUAAGCAGGGAGGAGAGGCUAAUGGUUAAUACCCAUUAGAUUAGACGUUACCUGCAGAAUAAGCACCGGCUAACUCUGUGCCAGCAGCCGCGGUAAUACAGAGGGUGCGAGCGUUAAUCGGAAUUACUGGGCGUAAAGCGAGUGUAGGUGGCUCAUUAAGUCACAUGUGAAAUCCCCGGGCUUAACCUGGGAACUGCAUGUGAUACUGGUGGUGCUAGAAUAUGUGAGAGGGAAGUAGAAUUCCAGGUGUAGCGGUGAAAUGCGUAGAGAUCUGGAGGAAUACCGAUGGCGAAGGCAGCUUCCUGGCAUAAUAUUGACACUGAGAUUCGAAAGCGUGGGUAGCAAACAGGAUUAGAUACCCUGGUAGUCCACGCCGUAAACGAUGUCUACUAGCCGUUGGGGUCCUUGAGACUUUAGUGGCGCAGUUAACGCGAUAAGUAGACCGCCUGGGGAGUACGGCCGCAAGGUUAAAACUCAAAUGAAUUGACGGGGGCCCGCACAAGCGGUGGAGCAUGUGGUUUAAUUCGAUGCAACGCGAAGAACCUUACCUGGUCUUGACAUAGUGAGAAUCCUGUAGAGAUGCGGGAGUGCCUUCGGGAAUUCACAUACAGGUGCUGCAUGGCUGUCGUCAGCUCGUGUCGUGAGAUGUUGGGUUAAGUCCCGCAACGAGCGCAACCCUUUUCCUUAUUUGCCAGCGGGUUAAGCCGGGAACUUUAAGGAUACUGCCAGUGACAAACUGGAGGAAGGCGGGGACGACGUCAAGUCAUCAUGGCCCUUACGACCAGGGCUACACACGUGCUACAAUGGUAGGUACAGAGGGUUGCUACACAGCGAUGUGAUGCCAAUCUCAAAAAGCCUAUCGUAGUCCGGAUUGGAGUCUGCAACUCGACUCCAUGAAGUCGGAAUCGCUAGUAAUCGCGGAUCAGAAUGCUGCGGUGAAUACGUUCCCGGGCCU